rnacentral:rRNA from 1 species
GACGAACGCUGGCGGCGUGCUUAACACAUGCAAGUCGAACGGUAAGGCCCUUCGGGGUACACGAGUGGCGAACGGGUGAGUAACACGUGGGUGAUCUGCCCUGCACUUCGGGAUAAGCCUGGGAAACUGGGUCUAAUACCGGAUAGGACCCUGGGAUGCAUGUCCUGGGGUGGAAAGCUUGUGCGGUGUGGGAUGGGUCCGCGGGCUAUCAGCUUGUUGGUGGGGUGAUGGCCUACCAAGGCCACGACGGGUAGCCGGCCUGAGAGGGGGACCGGCGACACUGGGACUGAGAUAAGGACCAGACGCCUACGGGAGGCAGCAGUGGGGAAUAUUGCACAAUGGGCGCAAGCCUGAUGCAGCGACGCCGCGUGAGGGAUGACGGCCUUCGGGUUGUAAACCUCUUUCAGCACCGACGAAGCGCAAGUGACGGUAGGUGCAGAAGAAGGACCGGCCAACUACGUGCCAGCCGCCGCCGUAACAC